rnacentral:lncRNA from 1 species
UAAGUGUUUGAUUGUAGAGUUUCGUCUCUCGGUUUACUUUCUACAGUACUAUUGUGGUGUCUCCUUUGCAUUAACAAAUUAACUUAAUACAAUUUUAUGGAAGCUUAAUAUCCGUUAAUUUUCUUGCCUAUUACAUCAAAUGAAACAAAGUAUCAAAAAUCUUAACCCCAAUAUGCGAGUAUAACUGUUACUAUAAGAUUCUUAUGUAUAAAUUUUGGCAAUGAUUGUAAUUAACAUUUGGGAGAUUAUAUUUUGAAUGUUCCAAAUUAUUUUAUUUGAUUUUUAAUCCAGAAAAUGUGUAAAACAAUAGAGUCGGAACCAGUCAGCUUUAACUGUGAAAACAACGGGUCCACAUAGACGUGUGCGCACGUUGUAUCCUACGCAAGCCUGCUUCAAGCUCCAGUCUCA